UUACUUAGGGGGAGGAGCUUCAAGCUGCUUUAAAGAGCUCAAGUGCCAUCACAGACUUGUCAUUUCAGCAUAAUGCUGCUCAUCACAAUUAUCCUGCUCUGUGCUGUUGGGAAUGGAAGUUUUGAGAGUCUCAUUACAUCAGAUGAAACUGAGGUCUUUCAUGAGGAGGGUGACAGUGUCACUUUGUCCUGUAGCUACUCAUCAGCAAUUAGUUUGCAUUGGUACCACCAGUAUCCCAAAUCAGCUCCUGAAUAUAUUUUAUCAAUUCUGCAAUCCUCUGGACGGGUCCAGAGUGCAGAGAAUCUGGAUUCUCGGUUUUCUGUGAGACUAAAUGGAAAGAAAAACCGUGUGGAUCUGAUCAUCUCCUCUGCUAAAGUGUCAGACUCUGCUCUGUAUUACUGCGCCCUGGAGCCCACAGGGACAGGAAACACUAGAACACGAUUGCAGAGGACAACAUACUGUACGUCAGCCAACAACGAUAACUUCAGCUUACAUGGGAGAGACUGUAACCCUGAAGUGUGAAUAUAAUACAACAGACACGAUGCCUGCUCUGCUGUGGUACAGGCAAACCAAGCAUUUACCUCCAGAAUUUAUAUUAGUAAGACACAAUCUUGGAAAUGG